GACGUAGGGCGCGAGCGUUUGUCCGGAUUUAUUGGGCGUAAAGAGCUCGUAGGCGGCUUGUCGCGUCAUCCGUGAAAACCCAUGGCUCAACUGUGGGCUUGCGGUCGAUACGGGGCAGGCUGGAGUUCGGUAGGGGGAGACUGGAAUUCCUGGUGUAGCGGUGGAAUGCGCAGAUAUCAGGAGGAACACCGGUGGCGAAGGCGGGGUCUCUGGGCAGUAACUGACGCUGAGGAGCGAAAGCGUGGGGAGCGAACAGG
rnacentral:rRNA from 1 species